rnacentral:rRNA from 1 species
UACGUAGGGUGCGAGCGUUAAUCGGAAUUACUGGGCGUAAAGCGUGCGCAGGCGGUUAUGCAAGACAGCUGUGAAAUCCCCGGGCUCAACCUGGGAACUGCAUUUGUGACUGCAUAGCUGGAGUGCGGCAGAGGGGGAUGGAAUUCCGCGUGUAGCAGUGAAAUGCGUAGAUAUGCGGAGGAACACCGAUGGCGAAGGCAAUCCCCUGGGCCUGCACUGACGCUCAUGCACGAAAGCGUGGGGAGCAAACAGG